GACGAACGCUGGCGGCGUGCUUAACACAUGCAAGUCGAACGGUAAGGCCCUUCGGGGUACACGAGUGGCGAACGGGUGAGUAACACGUGGGUAAUCUGCCCUGCACUUCGGGAUAAGCCUGGGAAACUGGGUCUAAUACCGGAUAGGACCACUGCCUGCAUGGGUGGUGGUGGAAAGCUUUUGCGGUGUGGGAUGGGCCCGCGGCCUAUCAGCUUGUUGGUGGGGUGAUGGCGUACCAAGGCGACGACGGGUAGCCGGCCUGAGAGGGUGACCGGCCACACUGGGACUGGGAUACGGCCCAGAAUCCUACGGGAGGCAGCAGUGGGGAAUAUUGCACAAUGGGCGCAAGCCUGAUGCAGCGACGCCGCGUGAGGGAUGACGGCCUUCGGGUUGUAAACCUCUUUCAGCACCGACGAAGCGCAAGUGACGGUAGGUGCAGAAGAAGGACCGGCCAACUACGUGCCAGCCGCCGCCGUAA
rnacentral:rRNA from 1 species